rnacentral:tRNA from 1 species
UCCCUGGUGGUCCAGUCUCUAAGACUCUGCACUCCUAAUGCAACAGACUUGGGUUCAAUUCCUAGUCAGGGAA